rnacentral:lncRNA from 1 species
GAAAAAGAUUGAUUGAAAACAGCGCCCAAAAACAGUUGACAAUCACUGUUUUGACGUCAUACAUGAAGGUUAGUCUAAGCAGUCUUCUCUCACUUUCAUUUACGACCAAAACAGCACACGUGCAGCUGCUCACUGCUCAGUGUUGGUUCAAUUUGGUCCAGUGUACAGUACAUAAACAUAUCGUUUCGUUCAUCGCCACUUGAAUUAUAGUGUCAACCAAGUUUACCUCGCUAUGAAGGAUAAAAAGAUUAGCAAGCUUGUUGCUGAUUCAGCAGCGUUCAUCAGAAAUGCGCAAAUGCAGGAUGUUGCUGAUGUCGUUUACACGGUUAGGGAUGUCGUUGACGAAAUUAGAGAUCAAGCUACAAAGCAGAGACUCAGAGUUUUACCUUAUGAAAUAAAAAUGAUGGAACCAUCACCGGUGGUGAUGGACAAUGAAUGAAUGUGAACAAUCGUAAUAUUAUCAAUAUUAGACAGACGGUGUUCGGUUAAUGUAUUCUGAUGAGUAUGGCGCAAAAGCUUGACUGGGUGAAUUCACUAUGCAUUGGCACGUAAAAGUAAUUGUUAAACAAUAAUAGUUGCUAAGAUGUGCGAGUCCCGAUAGAUGUUCAACCACUCUAGCGGGAGAAACCGUAAGUCACACCAGGUAACCGAGAUUAGACGUCCGUGAAAGUGCACCUGGUGGUGAAUGUUGUAAACUCGAUCCAAUCGUUAUCGACGUCGCCACCCACCAAAUCCACCUAUAAGGGAGACACUGGAGACGAAGAUGCGGAACAUUAUUGGAAUUUGAUGACGUCAAUUCCUCUAUUAGGUAGAAGUGGGUGUCUCUCGCCGCUUCUACCUGAAGAGUCCCAAAGUGGACGAAGAAAGUGGUCGAAAUUGGUCACUGCAGAGAGACGGGAAUUCAAGGCAAAGUCUCUGUGUCCAAGUAGUGGGAUACGACUAUUGGCUUUGUGAAUGGCCACAAGCAAAGUCAUGUAGUGGUCUGAUGGGCGAAUGUCCGCGAAGGAACAGCGGCGAAAGGGGCCUGCAGAGACGGACAGGUCUCUUUCUGAAGCCGGCUUGAGUCAACACUAAUCAAUUCAGCCGCAAUCACGCUGUAGGAUUCGGCUGAGAUUACUGUUCAAGUCACCCUGCAAAGUCCAGUCUCAGCGGAUGCUUUGGACGAAGGACACAAGAGCAAUUUAGAAUAAGGUCAAUUAGAUAAUAAGUUUGCGACCCGAAGUUCGAGUAGGGGAAAAGAGAAAAGGCUUACGUUUCGUAAAGCGUAAGCCUUUUUUCUUUUC